UGGGAACAGACAGAUCCUUUGUUCUGAGGCUCACUCAUCUCCCGAGCCCCGAGCCGUCUCCCAGCCUCAGACGGCUCUGCGGGCUGCAUCUGUGCAGCCUGGCAGCGGCGGCGCUGCGCUGUGACAUUUUCACAGCCCUUCUUGCAGAGGCAUGUGUGCUAGGGAUGCCGAAAUGCCGAGAGCGCCGGCAGGACUAGCUUCCGGGCCGCGCUUUGUGUGCUGGGCUGCAGUGUGGCGCGGGCGAGGAAGCUGGUAGGGCGGUUGUCGCAAGCUCCAGCUGCAGCCUCCGCCUACGUGAGAAGACUAGAAAGCGGGCGCAGGACCAGGCCUGCGUUGUUUGCAGAGAGGCCGUGGCUACAAAAUGGAAGUGCUUUUGCGACCUGGGCUCCAUUUUAGGAAUUCUUGCCCGAUUUUAACCACUUGAACGCGGAAGUGGCUUUCCUAUUCUCUUCCAAGCCAGCCUUUAAUUUUAAACGCUGUAAUUAACAGUUCACAGGGGUCAAAUUCCUUUAUUCCGGAACAUUCCACUUUGAGAGGGAUCUGUCCUCUUUGGUCCCCUGCGUUUUCAAAUAUUUGAGGAAAGGUGUCGCCUCUUUUUCUGUGGAAAGAGGAAGCUCAUGAGCGCGAAACAGCAGGGGACGGAGGGCGAGAAGGGCUUUCUCAGGUUGCGGGUCGGAGGGCAGAAGCACAGUUCCCAGUACAGAGACCCGGACAGGUGGCUGUUUCUCACGCUCACUUUGGAUUGCUCCCUACGGCUUCCUCCGCAGCCAUGUCUGACAAACCUGGUAUGGCUGAGAUCGAGAAAUUCGAUAAGUCGAAACUGAAGAAGACAGAAACGCAAGAGAAGAAUCCAUUGUCUUCCAAAGAAACUAUCGAACAGGAGAGGCAAGCAGGCGAAUCUUAAACAGGCAUGUGCCACCAAUAUCUACUGUACAUUCUACAAGCAUUGCUUUCUUAUUUUACUUCUUUUACUUGUUUAACUUGGUUAGAUGCAAACACGUUGGAUGAGUUUGAAAGGACUAUGCUGCCCUUUUGACAUCAAAGACCUGCUGACAAUGGAGGCCACGCCUGCUUCUCCCAUCGCCUGUCUGGCUGGCAGGGAAGGAAAAUAGCUUGAAUGUUGGUGAAAGACUUAGCGGAGUGGGAGGGCAGUGAAAUCUAGAGUAAAACCAAGUUGGGCCAAGUGUCCUGCAGAAUCUAAAAUGAAGUUUAAUCAGCGUGCCAUUUUUGUUGUUGUUUGAAAGAUUUUAAUUUUUGGAAUGCACAGUUUUUAUUUAAAAAAGACAUUUUUAAACCACUGCUUGUGAGAUUGCUUGUUGAUUGGAAAGAGUGUUUUAUUCACCAUUUAAACGUUUGCAAAGUGGCGUGCCCCUUGGCCUCACAGGCAAAGAAUAACUUAAAAGCUGACGAUUUGAAUAAAUUAUGUUACAGUAUGAAAUAUGUUUUACCUGGAUAUGUAAAAUACCUUCUUUAUUCUAGCUAAUUGGGAGAUGAUUUUUUUUGGCUAAUUGAGAUUACCUUUAGAUUAUGUUUUCAAAACUGGCUUAUACUGUAAUCUACAACUAAUAAGCACUAAUUUAGAGUUCAGCUAUAUUGUUGCAUGUAGUGAGAAGGGACUUAAUUACAAACUUAAGACGUAAGUGUGCAAUAAAGUAAGCUAAGAAGAAAA
rnacentral:lncRNA from 1 species